UGGAACUAUUCAAGUUGGUAAGGUUAAUGUGAUUUGUUAGGAGUACUCUUGUCAACUUUUAUUUUAAAAGCCAAAAAAAAAAAGCAAUCCUCAUGACUUGGCUGUACUUCUGCACCAAAAUAAAUCAGGUGGACCCCAUCUCCGGUUAGGAGUCUUUCUUCCCGGAACAGCAUCCCAUGGUUAAGGAGGCCGAAGCCCUCCUGAUGACACCAUGCUCGCACCCAGGCAUUCACCUCCUGAGGAACCAUCACCUCCAGGAUGCAUCUGUUUCCACCUGGGUUCCUACCCUGGACCAGAAGGAUCAAAGAGAGCACACCUGCACCCCCAACUCCUUCACCCUUACUCCCGGAGCCCUGUUGUCACUUCUGAGCUGCUCAGGAUCGUACCUUGAAGAAUGGUCACUUAACUUGUGACUACGAAUUAGUUUUUAUGAUACCUGGUAGAGGUGUCAGCUUGUCUUUUGUCUUCAAGAAAGUGGUUUACCCACUUCCCAGACUUGUUUGGUAAACACAUUUCAGUCAUAA